CGUAGGUGGCAAGCGUUGUCCGGAUUUACUGGGCGUAAAGCGAACGCAGGCGGACCUUUAAGUAGGAAGUGAAAGGUUGGAGCUCAACUCUAACACUGCUCCCUAUACUGGAGGUCUUGAGUGCCGGAGAGGAAGACGGAACAAGUUGUGUAGCGGUGAAAUGCGUUGAUAUAACUUGGAACACCAAUGGCGAAAGCAGUCUUCUGGACGGAUACUGACGCUCAGGUUCGAAAGCCAAGGUAGCAAACAGGAUUAGAUACCCUGGUAGUCUUGGCCUUAAACGAUGUUCACUAGGUGUUGGGGGGUAACCCUCGGUGCCGCAGCUAACGCAUUAAGUGAACCGCCUGGGGACUACGGCCGCAAGGUUG
rnacentral:rRNA from 1 species